AGUGAAAAUACCACCCUGAAUGCACCUGACCUCGUCUGAUCUAGAAAGCUAAGCAGGGUCGGGCCUGGUUAGUACUUGGAUGGGAGACAGGGUACUUUUAAUA
rnacentral:rRNA from 1 species